rnacentral:rRNA from 1 species
AGAGUUUGAUCCUGGCUCAGGACGAACGCUGGCGGCGUGCUUAACACAUGCAAGUCGAACGGAAAGGCCCUUCGGGGUACUCGAGUGGCGAACGGAUGAGUAACACGUGGGUGAUCUGCCCUGCACUUUGGGAUAAGCCUGGGAAACUGGGUCUAAUACCGAAUAUGACCAUGCGCCUCCUGGUGUGUGGUGGAAAGCUUUUGCGGUGUGGGAUGGGCCCGCGGCCUAUCAGCUUGUUGGUGGGGUAAUGGCCUACCAAGGCGACGACGGGUAGCCGGCCUGAGAGGGUGACCGGCCACACUGGGACUGAGAUACGGCCCAGACUCCUACGGGAGGCAGCAGUGGGGAAUAUUGCACAAUGGGCGCAAGCCUGAUGCAGCGACGCCGCGUGAGGGAUGACGGCCUUCGGGUUGUAAACCUCUUUCAGCACAGACGAAGCGCAAGUGACGGUAUGUGCAGAAGAAGGACCGGCCAACUACGUGCCAGCAGCCGCGGUAAUACGUAGGGUCCGAGCGUUGUCCGGAAUUACUGGGCGUAAAGAGCUCGUAGGUGGUUUGUCGCGUUGUUCGUGAAAACUCACAGCUUAACUGUGGGCGUGCGGGCGAUACGGGCAGACUUGAGUACUGCAGGGGAGACUGGAAUUCCUGGUGUAGCGGUGGAAUGCGCAGAUAUCAGGAGGAACACCGGUGGCGAAGGCGGGUCUCUGGGCAGUAACUGACGCUGAGGAGCGAAAGCGUGGGGAGCGAACAGGAUUAGAUACCCUGGUAGUCCAA